GUAGCACCCCACAGCGGUGCCUCUCAGACACCCGCACGCCCGGCCGGCAGCGCCGGCUCCUUCAGGGCGUUCCGGGGUGUCACCCCCCUCCUCCCUAAGGGGCGGAGACCGCCAUGGCGGAGGCGGGGAGAGCCGACGGGAGUGCCCCCGCAACCCACCGCCCUGUGCCCCCUCGGGCGCCGGCGGAGCGAGGCUGCGCUGUCCAGGUGUCUGUCAUUGUGCCUGUUCACAAUAGUGAAUGCUGGUUAGAUGAAUGCCUGAAGUCAGUUUGGGAACAAGAUUUUAAGGAAACCAUGGAGCUGUCAGUUUUUAAUGAUGCCAGUAAGGAUGGUUCAGCUGAGAUACUUGAGAAAUGGAAGAUCAAGUUGGAAGGUGUUGGUGUUCCAGUAAUCAUUGGUAAUAAUGAUUCCUCUGAACCUCGAGGUGUUGGAUUUGCUAAAAAUCAAGCAGUCUUUCAGAGCUCAGGAACUUAUCUCUGCUUUCUGGAUUCAGAUGAUGUGAUGAUGCCACAGCGGAUUAGGCUGCAGUAUGAAGCUGCCAUUCAACGCCCAAACAGUAUUAUUGGUUGCCAAGUCAGGAGGGAGCCACCAGAGUCUACUGAGCGGUAUACUCGUUGGAUCAAUAAUAUGACUGAGGAGCAACUUCUGACACAGGUGUUUACCUCCCAUGGACCUACAGUGAUCAUGCCAACCUGGUUCUGUUCUCGAGAAUGGUUUUUUCACGUGGGAAAAUUUGAUGAGGGUGGAAAGGGUGUUCCAGAAGAUUUGUUGUUUUUUUAUAAACACCUCCAAAAGGGUGGAGAAGUCUUUCGAGUAAACCAUUGCCUCCUGCUGUACCGUUACCAUCCCCAGGCUGCAACUCAUUCCGUCCUAGAGGGAACCAUCUGGAAUCACCGAGUCAGGUUUCUUGAAGAUAGAGUCCUGAGCUCCUGGACAUCUUUCACCAUUUGGAAUGCUGGCAAACAAGGCAAGAAGCUCUACAGAAGCUUGUCACCAGCUAAUCGGAAAAAGGUGACUGCAUUUUGUGAUGUUGAUGAGAAGAAAAUAAUGAAAGGAUUCUACACGUAUGAAGAAUCUGAGGAGAGACCAAAACCCAAGAUUCCUGUAUGUCACUUCAGAGAUGCAACUCCACCCUUCAUCAUCUGCGUGAAGCUGGAUUUGACAGGUGGAGCAUUUGAAACAAACCUGAGCAUGCUGAACUUGAAGGAAGGGAUUGAUUAUUACCACUUCAACUAAAGCCAAGGAUCUGUGAGCUCUUGAAGAGCAGCAGAGUGUUGUGCACUCAUGUGAGUACAGACUGGCUGCUAAGUAGGAACACCUGGACAGCUGUGCAGUCCUUCACAUUCAGAAGGGCAGAUGAACAGCUUCUGAAACACCUGUACCCUGUUAUUUCAUUUCUGCAUCUUGCCUGAGCAAGAUGGUAUGCUCCAAGUCUGAAUGGUGUCAAGAAACCAGACUGGAAGGACUUAAGACAGGAGUCUUCAGCAGUCCCAUAUAGUCUGUGGUAAGCUGUGGGGACACUGGCACAUUCAUGAACCACUGCAAGACUGCAUCUGCUGUACAGAAGUGAGUUUGGUGAACAGUUGAUUAUUAGGAGGUUUCAGGAGCACGUUUCCAAACCUUACCUUAGACACUAGCUGUGGUCUGGGCACUUUCAUGAGGUCACAGAGACAGUUGCGCUUCUCUCGCACCACCGGCAGCUCAGCUUCCCUGCGAGAGGAAGCAGCUUUGCUUAGUUUGAGCUGGCUACCUCCACACUUCAUCUGCUGUCCAAGUCAUUAUCCCAGCACCAUCUCAUGCACAUUACAGACUGCAGCAGUUUUUAUCCUGUUGCAUUUUAAGAACUUCUGUACCAUUUUGAGCCAGAUGAAGCACAAAUGCACAGCAGCUCGUCCAGAGGGCACAGCUACCAGUAACCUGCCCAAAGCUGUUUGCUCUGGGAUGUUGGAUUCUCACAGAAAUGACACUUCUGCACAAUCCUUUUGACUAGCAGUGCAUGAAUUUUUUUUCUGUAAAGGUACAGCUUAGCUCCUUUUCACUUCAGAAAACUUCAUAUCAAUAAUUUCCACAUCACUGGAUUUGAAGAACAUUCUACAUCUAAAGAAACAUUCUCCUCACAUAGAAAAUCCAAACUUAACCCUUGGGAGUCAUUUUAAACAUUUCUGAAAUAGCAGCAUGUCCAUCAGAUAAUUUCCUCACAAAGUGUCAGUGCCAAAAAUCCAUACAAGCAGCAUUCUUGUCCUUGUCAUAAAAAACCCACCCCUCUGCCUGGAAUGUGGUGGGGCUACCAGUACUGCUCACUAACUCAGGACAGUUAUUUUGCUUUCCUUGUGUAAAAACUGUAAAUGAACUGUUAGAACUGGAAUUUUUGGCACAGCAGGAGUCCAAAGCUACAGAGAAGCAGCAUAAAGAGCAAAGUUAAAAACAACCUGAACUGCUUCUCUCUUUUUUUGACACCUUGGACAAUUUGUCAUAGUCAGGAGAUGAAACCUUCCUGUAACUUAACAAAAAUAAUUAUUUACACAAUAAUUAAAACUCUGAAUUACACAAUUGUAUGAUUAAACUCUGCUGUUCCAACACAGAACAAAUAGAAGUGUGCCAGUAAUUAUCAUCUGCCCCAAACCUUAAUCUUCAUUUGGCUUCCUGAUGGCAAUGCUUUUUGUAAUUUGAAAUUGCCUGUGCUGGUUUUAGCACUGAGGACAACAAGCAGCUCUCCCUGGCACUCAGCAAUGACUUGAAAUCUCUUCUUCUGUAAACAGUUCAAAUCUACCAAGGUAACGCAGUUAGGGUUUAAGUAAACUGGCAUUUCAUUCUUAACCUUAGUGUAGUGGGCAUCCUGCAAAGGGGGAACUGAGAGCAAGCCCUACAGUGAGACAGACUAGCCAGCCAGUCACACCUUAAACACACCAGUAAAUACUUAAACUGAGUACGUGGCUUUCUGAAGGGUCUUUUAGGAAGCUUUUUGCUCUCCUUUAGUAACCCACUGAUGACAAUAGCUGCUGUGUCUGCUGCUUCUGGAGCUGUUUGGUGUGCACCACUCCUGAUUUCGGUAUUGUAAACAUCCCUUGGUGACAGCAGUAAUGUAAUCCUCCUCAAUUGUUUCUGCUAACAUUCUUUAUGUAACCUCUGAGCAAGCCUGUUCUUCAGUUCCAUUUCAUAAGCCAGGCCUGAGUCACACUGAACACAGCACUAAGCAUGCAAAUGCAGUUAGCCAGGCGGAAGCGUUGAUAACCAAUUCUUCCAAUCUCAGCCUGUCACUCUGUUUUUGUACUGGAAAAUUCAUAAAGCCAGUAGCAGCCACCCCUCACAAUGGCAAACUUGGGCUUCUUUUCCCAAAUAUCAAGUUAUUUAAGCUCAAGCACAGAAAUAAACUAGAAACUAAAUAGAAGUUCUGGUAUGUGAGGAUACAGUCUGAAAAUAUGUAAACUAUAACCCCAAGGUACAUUUGUUCUCUGAACAUAUCUGGGUUAAUUUUAUUUCCAGGAAAUGUUACUUUCUUUAGUUAUUACAGUAAAGUAUUUUUUUAUA